CUCCGCGAGUUACGCUACGAACAUGAUCAGUCGUUCCGAGAGUCCCCACGUAUCUGACACGGACCAGAUCCUACGAGCGCCAUGAGGAAUUUGUCAUUGGCAGGCUGAACCAGCCAGUAGCUGGCAGACGACUGCCCUAUUGAUUGUAACUGCUUUUGUACGGGGUUACGUGGUCACUUGUGCAUAUUGCAAGUACCGUACGAUAAUGACCGCUUAUUCCGUGCCAGCAGCCGCCGUAUACGGAAGGUCAGGGCGUAUCCGGAUUUAUUGGGUUUAAAGGAGCGUAGGCCGCCGGUUAAGCGUGUGUGAAAAGCAGUGGCUCAACCACUGUCGUGCAGCGCGAACUGUCCGGCUGAGUAUCAUGAAAAGGUUGCGGAAUUCGUGGUGUAGCGGUGAAAUGCUUAGAUAUCACGAAGACCUCCGAUUGCGAAGGCAGCAGCCUGUGUGUUCACUGACGCUGAAGCUCGAAGGUGCGGGUAUCGAACAGGAUUAGAUACCCUGGUAGUCCGCACGGUAAACGAUGGAUGCUCGUUGUUCGGUGUUUUUUAUGCUGAGUGACUUAGCGAAAGCGUUAAGCAUCCCACCUGGGGAGUACGCCGGCAACGGUGAAACUCAAAGGAAUUGACGGGGGCCCGCACAAGCGGAGGAACAUGUGGUUUAAUUCGAUGAUACGCGAGGAACCUUACCCAGGCUUGAAUUGCAGGGAGACGUCGCGGAGACGCGUCGGUCCUUCGGGAUUCCUGUGAAGGUGCUGCAUGGUUGUCGUCAGCUCGUGCCGUGAGGUGUCGGCUUAAGUGCCAUAACGAGCGCAACCCCUGCGUGUAGUUGCCAUCAGGUGAUGCUGGGCACUCUGCACGGACUGCCACCGUAAGGUGUGAGGAAGGUGGGGAUGACGUCAAAUCAGCACGGCCCUUACGUCUGGGGCUACACACGUGUUACAAUGGGUGGUACAGCGAGUUGUCCGCCGGCAACGUCGGACCAAUCUUGAAAACCAUUCUCAGUUCGGAUUGGGGUCUGCAACCCGACCCCAUGAAGCUGGAUUCGCUAGUAAUCGCGCAUCAGCCAUGGCGCGGUGAAUACGUUCCCGGGCCUUGUACACACCGCCCGUCAAGCCAUGAAAGCCGGGGGCGCCUGAAGUCCGUUUCCGCGAGGUUCGGCCUAGGGUGAAACUGGUGAUUGGGGCUAAGUCGUAACAAGGUAAAUCACUGGCCCGUCGUUAAACCCC
rnacentral:rRNA from 1 species